rnacentral:lncRNA from 1 species
UGAUCCCUUUCGCUAUAUGGCGUGCUCGUUUGGGUUGGGCGUCGGCUAAGAGUGCUCAGAGCAUGGAUUAACUCCAGUCUCCUAUCAGGUGUGUAUUUUCUCGCUACUCUAGCUGUAGGAUGGCUACUUCGGGCCGCGAUGGGCCGAAAGGGGUCAUGUGGGCCCAAUGGGCCUACGGGCCCAAUUGGAUAAGUUGUUUGAUUGUGUAGUAAAUAUUGGACUAGGCUUGGUGAAUCUCGUAUUUGUGGCUAGAUUUGGGCUAAAAGGGCCACACUAGCGUGUGGGCCCAUUUGGGCCGAGAAUAGGCUUUAGGCCUAUUCGUAUUGUUAUCCCUGCUUAGAAUACUUUAGUUUACUAAUAUUAUCGAAAUACCGUCGAUUUGUAAAAUUACUAAAAUACCUUCGACUUGUAAAAUUACCAAAGUACCCCCGGCUUAUAAAAUUACCGAAAUACCGUCGAUUAUAAAAUUACUGAAAUACCCUCGACUUGUAAAAUUAUCAAAGUACCCCUGAUUUACAGAAUUACCAUUUUACCCUCGAUUUAUAGAAUUACUAUUUUACCCUCAGUUUACAAAAUUAUCGUUUUACCCUCGAUUUACAAAAUUACCAUUUUACCCUCAGUUUACAAAAUUACCGUUUUACCCUCGAUUGUGAAAUUACUGAAAUACCCCUGUAGGAUAGAAUUACCAAAAUACCCCUAGUUUGUAAAAUUACCAAAAUACCCCUAGUUUGUAAAAUUACCAAAAUACCACUAGUUUGUGAAAUUACUGAAAUACCCUUAAUUUGUAAAAUUACCAAAAUACCCAUGAUUUACAAAAUUACUGAAAUACCCUUGGUUUGUAGAUUUACCAAAACACCCUUGUAGGAUGAAAUGACUAAAAUACCCCUAAUAGGUAAAAAGACCGUAAUACCCCUGUAUGGUAAAAUGAAAAAUAUGCCCUUAUGUUCCGUAUGACUGAUGUGCUUAGGAUUUACAUAUAUUGAUAUUGGAUUAGUUAAGUUUGAGUGAUAGGUGGUGGCUAUCGUAGGUGAUUGAUUUUGGAAACGUUUCAACUUCAACCCAUAACAGGUGUGUAAUAACCCUCGCAGUAGCUUAGAUUAAUAUUCGUCGAAAAGUCGAAAUGCUAAAAUUUCGGCAUUUCGGGAACUUGUGAUUUUGCCUUUGCUUAAAGAUGCGAUAGAUACGAUAUGAUCGGUGUUUGGAUUGAUGGAGCAGGUAAGAGCGCAAUUUUGUGCACGAUGGUAAGUUGGGCCUCAAUGGACUGGAAUCGGGCCCAUUUAGGUAAAACUGAUAGAAAAUGGAAUCUGGAAAAGUUGCAUGUUAACAAGGUUAGUACUGUUGUAAAAUUUGGAUUAAGCAGGCUUACUGGGCUAAAUCAGCAUUCGUAGGGCCCAUUAGGGGUUUUGGGCCCAAAAGCCUGAAUUUGAUAAAGUGGGUUAAAGAUCAUUGUUUAAACACUCAAAAAUAUUGAUAAUUGUUAAUGAACAUGGAAAACCCUGAUAUUUGGUAAAAUUAUGAACUUACCCUUAUAAUAUGAAAAAUGACUGUUUUGCCCUUGUGGGCAAGUGACUGACUGAUGGAUUUGAUUGUGAAUAUAUAUUGGUGAUACAAAUGACUUGAUUGUGAUUGUUUGAUUCAAAUAUGGGCAUGACAUUCUGCAUACAUGGCAUGUUGCAUUAGGGGUUUUGGGCCCAAAAGCCCAAAUUUGAUAAAGUGGGUUAAAGAUCAUUGUUUAAACACUCAAAAAUAUUGAUAAUUGUUAAUGAACAUGGAAAACCCUGAUAUUUGGUAAAAUUAUGAAAUUACCCUUAUAAUAUGAAAAAUGACUGUUUUGCCCUUGUGGGCAAGUGACUGACUUGGACUGUGUGGUUGAUGGAUUUGAUUGGGAACAUAUGUUGGUGAUAUGAAUGACUUGACUGUGAUUGUUUGAUUCAAAUAUGGGCAUGACAUUCUGCAUACUUGACAUGUCGCAUGGGUUGGGUUUUCUAAAUGGAGGAAGUGCUAAAAGGGCUAUGCCCCAGUUUAUCGUAAAGGGCUUUGCCCCAGUUAUUAAAAGAGGCUAGGCCUCGAGUUAUAUGAUAAAGCAGCUAUGCUGCCAGUGGAGAGUUUGGUUAGAUGGUGGAGUUAUUCCCCACAUGGUGUGUUGGUUGGUACGGGUGGAGAGUAGCGGAUGGUGGGUUGAGUAGUCUCCCCAAAUGGGCUUGCAUACAUUCAUUGAUAUUACAUGUGAUAUUGAAAUGGGCCUAUGGGCCAUACCCUUAUAGUAAAGGCUUCGGUCAGUGAAAUGAUUUUUGAAAAGACUUCGGCCCAGUGAUAUGAUUUAUGAAAAGGCUUCGGCCCAGUAUAUGUCGAGACUGAAUUAGGGCUUAGGCCCAUAUUGCUACUGUUUAAGCGCUAAGGCCCAGAAUUUACUGUUACUGAAUAGGGCUUUGGCCUAGAUUGUACUGACACUGUGUUAUUCACUAUUUGUUUAUUGUUGGGGAUUACACACUGAGUUUUCGUAAACUCACCCCGUUUUUAACUGUGCAGGUAAUCCCUAAGCUUUGAUGGUUUGGAGCUGCGAGGGACUUAGAGAUGGCCACACUACUGUUUCUGUUUCUUUUAAUUGCAAUAAGUAGCCGAUUUAUUUCUUUAUAAGUUUUAUGUUAUUAAUAUUAUUAUUUGGUUUUGGGUUGUAAUAAGGCCAUUUUAAUUAUUUUUCUG